rnacentral:rRNA from 1 species
GACGAACGCUGGCGGCGCGCUUAACACAUGCAAGUCGAACGGAAAGGCCUGCUUUCCCUUGUGGAUUGCGGGUACUCGAGUGGCGAACGGGUGAGUAACACGUGAGUGAUCUGCCCCCAACUUGGGUAUAAGCCUGGGAAACUGGGUCUAAUUCCCGAUAGGACUGCAGGGUGGUGCCUGUGGUGGAAAACGAUUUUCUAGUGGUUGGGGAUGAGCUCGCGGCCUAUCAGCUUGUUGGUGGGGUAAUGGCCUACCAAGGCGGCGACGGGUAGCCGGCCUGGGAGGGUGGACGGCGACAUUGGGACUGAGAGACGGCCCAGACUCCUACGGGAGGCAGCAGUGGGGAAUAUUGCACAAUGGGCGGAAGCCUGAUGCAGCGACGCCGCGUGGGGGAUGACGGCCUUCGGGUUGUAAACUCCUUUCGACCGCGAGGAAGCCACCUGGUUGGAAGGGUGGUGACGGUAGUGGUAGAAGAAGCACCGGCUAACUACGUG